GAUGAACGCUGGCGGCGUGCCUAAUACAUGCAAGUCGAGCGAACGGACGAUAAGCUUGCUUCUCUGAUGUUAGCGGCGGACGGGUGAGUAACACGUGGAUAACCUACCUAUAAGACUGGGAUAACUUCGGGAAACCGGAGCUAAUACCGGAUAAUAUUUUGAACCGCAUGGUUCAAUAGUUAAUUACGGUCUUGCUGUCACUUAUAGAUGGAUCCGGGCUUCAUUAGCUAGUUGGUAAGGUAACGGCUUACCAAGGCAACGAUGCAUAGCCGACCUGAGAGGGUGAUCGGCCACACUGGAACUGAGACACGGUCCAGACUCCUACGGGAGGCAGCAGUAGGGAAUCUUCCGCAAUGGGCGAAAGCAUGACGGAGCAACGCCGCGUGAGGGAUGAAGGUCUUCGGAUCGUAAAACUCUGUUAUUAGGGAAGAACAUAUGUGUAAGAAAAUGUGCACAGAUUGACGGUACCUAAACAGAAAGCAACGGCUAACUACGUG
rnacentral:rRNA from 1 species